rnacentral:rRNA from 1 species
AUUGAACGCUGGCGGCAGGCCUAACACAUGCAAGUCGAACGCGUGGCGCAGGGGUGAGAAGUGUCUGGGAAACUGCCUGAGGGAGGGGGAUCACCAAUGGAAACGGUCGAUAAUACCGCAUACCAUCAGAUGCCCCCAGAUGGGAUGAGCUUGGGGGUGGGGUAACGGCUCACCUAGGCGACGAUCCCUAGCUGGUCUGAGAGGAUGACCCGCCACCCUGGAACUGCGACACGGUCCAGACUCCUACGGGAGGCAGCUGUGGGUAUUAUUGCACAAUGGGCGCAAGCCUGAUGCAGCCAUGCCGCGUGUAUGAAGAAGGCCUUCGGGUUGUAAAGCACUUUCAGCGGGGAGGCGUUGCCCGCAGAAGAAGCACCGGCUAACUCCGUGCCAGCAGCCGCGGUAAUUC